UAUGCCUCUGCUGUAAGUUUAUCAAUGAUUAUUUUUUCUGCUGUUAUAAUUUUGUUAUCACCUAGUUGGGCCUCCAUAGAAUCUUCAAUUUCGCAAUAGUUUUACCUGCAUUUUUUAACAGACUUGAAGUUUCAAUGUCUAGAAGACUUCUGCAAUCAAUCAAUGAUUAGAAUUUCUGAUGUUUUAUGGACAAACAAUUGUUUAAACUUGGAAUUCUUACAUUUAAUAGAAUUUUCUUUUAUGAUUCAAAGUCUAGAAUCAUGGAGCUGGAGCGGGGCCCCUGGUCAGAUUGGCUAAAGAAUCUUGUUGCGGGCAAGAGGGCACGAGAUCCCAAUGGUCAAACUAAAAAGCUAUAGUGAAUAUGCAGAAUAGGAGAAAGAAAUAAUGACUGUACAGAUACAACAGAAAGCAAAUGCUAUACAAGACCAGAAACUGUGAUAAUUCUACAGGAUGAACUUCUCUUGAGAAAGUUUGCAAGGGUUCUCUAAAGGAGGUUCAAAGUCUCUUAAAAGGAGAUAAUGGAUAAGAGGAAUCUAACCAGACUAAUACGGAUCAUCUUAAGCACAUAGUGGUUAAGCGUUAAAAGAGCUAGUAUGAGUAUCUAAUAUCUACACUAACAAUUAACGGUUAGUGAAUCCUAAGUUGGUGUGCAACCUAAUUAACUCAAGUUAAUAAUGAUCUUGUAGGUGGAUCAAGGACCAAACCAUGUUCUUAAUUUUAUUAAAGCUGGAUAAGCUCGACAAUUGUUUCACAAUCAUUAUUCUACUAGUCUUCACAACAUUAAGUGGAAUUUUAGCUUUUGAACUA